rnacentral:rRNA from 1 species
GAAACNGAUCUUCCCGUGAAGAAGCGGGAAUUAUUCUAUAAGACGAGAAGACCCCAUGAAGCUUCAAAUAAGUAUCAACUGUUAACUUUACACCACCAGACACCUAAUAGCCCUGACUACUAAUUUUUGGUUGGGGCGACCACGGAGUAAAACAAAACCUCCACAAUGAAAAGACCUAACCCAUUAUUCAAGAACAACAGUUCUAACAAUCAACACAUUGACAUAAUUGACCCAAACCCCCAUUGAUCAAUGAACCAAGUUACUCUGGGGAUAACAGCGCUAUCUAUUUCAAGAGUUCAUAUCGACAAAUGGGUUUACGACCUCGAUGUUGGAUCGGGGUAUCCCAGUGGUGCAGCCGCUACUAAAGGUUCGUUUGUUCAACGAUUAAAACCCCACGUGAUCUG